GCAAUAGCUACUUGCAUCAUUGAAAAUAUGAUGCAAGAUCGACUAUGUCGAAUAAAAUUCUAGGUAGAAUUAUGAUAAUGACAUUGUCUGCCUAUGUGUCUUGACCAAAUUACGUGCCAGCAGUCGCGGUAAUACGUAGAAGACUAGUGUUAUUCAUGUUUAAUCGGUUUAAAGGGUACCUAGACGGUAAAUCAAGCCUAAAAGGAAGGAAAUAAAGGGACUAAUUUACUAGAGUUACUUAUGAGGGGGUAUUAAAGUACUGCUGGUGUAGAGAUGAAAUUCUGUCAUACCUCUUUUCAAUAGAAAAAUAAUGGCACAGGUAUAGGCGAAAGCAUCCCCUUAUGUGAUAACUGACGUUGAGGGACGAAGGCUUUGUGUAGCGAACAGGAUUAGAUACCCCAGUAGUCAAAGCAGAAAAUGAUGAAUGUCAUAGAUUAGAUAUAUAAGUUUAUUCUAUAAAUGAAAGUGUAAGCAUUCCACCUCAAGAGUAAUUUGGCAACAUUGGAACUGAAAUCAUUAGACCGUUUCUGAAACCAGUAGUGAAGUAUGUUGUUUAAUUUGAUAAUCCGCAAAAAACCUUACCACAAUUUGAAUAUUUAUAUUUUUUUUAUUGUUUUUCUUUUUAAUUUUCUUCCGAUUUUCUAGUUAAAGGAAAAUUAGAAGAAAAAGAAAAAAGAGGCAAUAAGAUCUAG
rnacentral:rRNA from 1 species